GUGAGCUGCUGUUCAAACACUCCGGCUGGGAUCCGUUUAACACACACAAAAGAUGAUGGACGAGAAGUGACAUACAGAGCCGAGUGUGCAAGGUACGGCACACGCGGCCAGCGGCGUGGACACGGCCAAAGUCAAAACGAAUGCGUGCGCUCUGGGCAGAUGAGGCCUCCAUCCCGCCAUGGUGCUGCUGCUGCUGCUGCGGAGGGACGCCUCUCCCGUGUGAAGCGAGUCGUUCCCCACCAUAAAGCUGGAAGGCGGCAGUGAGCCCAUUCACUUUUGGCAGAAGCAGCUCCAUCAGGUUUCCCUGCCAGACUCUCGGUAUCUCUGUGGACCUCCCCCGAUGGGGCAGUCAUCCAGCAGGUUCUGCCUGUGUCAUGCUUGGAUGUGGCACAAUGCGGACCCUUACUCACCUUCAUCAUAACUCAUCAAACCCCGCUUCCCCGAAAGGAACCCGGAAAAUAACGCCGGCCUCAAUGAGAUGCCUCCAAGACCAUUUUCUGGAGAAAAUGCAUCAAAAGCAUUACUUGAUCCAAUCCCCCUAAACCCAUGGCCUUUAUUUAGCCUUGGGUGUCUGAAUGAGAAUGUGUGCUCACUGGUGUGCAAGACUUACAUUUGAGGAUGUGUUUAUAGGAAAUGAUUCAUUUCCUGGGAGGAGCCCCCUUGGGGGGCUCAUGGGCCUUCUAGGAGACUGUGGAUUAAGAAGCCCUGUUAUCUUUUCUGCCUAUGGUUCAAAUCACAUUGAAAGUCUAUUAAAUGGGUGAUAACCCUCUAAAUGCUCAUCUUCUAUUAUCACUCAAUAUAAUAGACUCUGGGCGCCUGGGUGGCUCAGUGGGCUAAGCCUCUGCCCUCAGCUCAGGUCAUGAUCCCAGGGUCCUGGGAUGGAGCCCAGCAUCGGGCUCUCUGCUCAGCGGGGAGCCUGCUUCCUCCACUCUCUCUGCCUGCCUCUCUGCCUACUUGUGAUCUCUGUCUUAUA